UACAGCAAUCCUCAUACUAAGCAAGCAUGCAGCGACAGUGGAGAGGAAAACUCCCUUUUAACAGGAAGAAACCUCCAGAGAAUCCUGGCUCAGUAUAAGCAGCCAUCCUCCACGACUCACUGGGGAUGUGCUUGCUUUAUGCUGUUUAAGUAUUAUAAACUAUAAACUAUCUGAGGGUUAUGUUACAGCUAUGUAACAUAAUUUCAAAAUGUUCUGUAAUAAUUUGUGUCGUUUAAAUUUUUUUUUCUAAUUAAUAACAAAAAUUGUCUAGCGCUAAUAAUCUCUGGAAAUAUCCAUCGAAAUGUUGAUGAAAAUGAAUAAAGUAAUGUCAUCAAUGAAAAAUUUGAGUGACUUUGUAUCAUAUAACAAAAAAUUGGGUCUAAAGUACAUCGGGCACGGGUCCAAGUCUCUGGGGGAUGACAUGUUUCCUUCUGGACCCCGAGCAGAUCCACAAACAACAGUACCAAAAAAACUAGUAUCAAAAAUUUGCUGGACUUUGUUGCUAGCUGUGUCCCUGAAAGGCUGAAAAUUGGAAGGCCUCCCUGAUUUCGCCUCAUUCCCACCGAGUACUGAUGCAGUCCGUUUUCCAUGCGGCUUCUGCAAAGACCAAAACUCACUGAGUCCAAUCACUGCCUUCAAACAGGCUGCAGAUCCCGAUGCAGAGCUCUGGGAAGUUUCCACAUGGAGUCUAAUAAUUCUGAACACCACAUGCAGAUUGUGAAGAAAUUAAAGAAAUUACAUGAGCCAGAAAGGAGGUGAGGCAUGUGUUAUUGUGGUGCAUCCCGUUUAUUUCAAGAUGAAACCCGUGUUGCAUUUCUUUUGACAGCGACAUCAGUCCACAGAUCACAGAACUCUUAUAUCUUAUGUCAAAUUUGUAACGUGAACUUGUGUGAACCCCCGAGUUAUGGUGCUCUCGCGGGAGACGUCAGCGUAUAUGGCUGUCAGAAGCCGUCCGGACACCGGACCAAAUUCAUUCUGUACUCGGUGUAAAUGAGGCAUGAUUCUCCAAACUGAGAUCCUCCUGCCUGUUUUCUUCUGCAGGUAUGACACUGACUACUACUGCUACUCCCCCUUAAAGGGCAGACCUUCGGGUUGCUGUCCUAGAUGUGGAUGUACCUGCUCCAGUUUUCCGGACACUGCCAUGAUCUUGGGCGGGUUGUGGUUUGGAGGGUUGUGGCCCACUGGGUUGUUUUCAUUAUCAGUUCUGGUUGCAGCCAUCUCUCUGUGCGGGUGGUGGUUCACGCCAACGCCGGUGUGGUUCAUGCCAACGCUGGUCUUCUCCCGACCAACAAUGUUCCCACAAACAUCCAAACCUGCCACCUGCAUUUCCCUCUCUCUCUCUCUCUCCCUCUCCAUCCUCUCAUUCUCCAGCCUCUCCCUUUCUCGCUCUCGUUCUCUCUCCCUCUCUCGUUCCCUCUCUCUUUCUAUCUUUUCCCUCUCAAUCCGUUCUCUCUCCCUCUCCCUGGCUCUCUCCCUCUCUCGCUCCCUCUCACGUUCCAGCCUUUCCCUCUCCACUCGCUCACGCUCCCUCUCCCGGUUCCUUUCCCUCUCACGCUCCCUCUCUAACCUCUCCCGGUCCCAGUCUCGAUCCCGGUCCCGGUCUCUCCCCCUCUCACGCUGCCUCUCCCUUUCCCACUCCCUCCUGACAGCUGCGGUGCCGCAGUCCAACUGGUUGUUGUUGGAUUGGGCCGUCAUGGUGCAUUCAGUGUUGGUAGAGGAGGCUGUUUCAGUGGGUCGGUCAGUGCAGAUCGCUGUCCCGAUACUAAUGCUCCUGCGUUCAUCGCUUGAUGCCGUCCCAUCUGAAAUGGUCGCUGGAGGGCGUGGCAGUCGUUCAGCGCUGCAGCUGCGGUCGGUAGGGCAACGGCGAGAUAGAGGAGGGGCUCGGGGCAGGGUGGUCCUCGUGCCCACGGACUUCAUGGCAAACUCCUGCUCUCCUGCCACCCCACUUCCAACACUGCCC
rnacentral:lncRNA from 1 species